rnacentral:misc_RNA from 1 species
UAUAUCAUGGAUUCUACUUUUGUUUUGUUAUUUCUAUUUAGUGGAUGCUGACAUAUCAGUGCCUGUUAUGAGGUUUCAGUUCUCUUUUUCUGUGUGUGUGUGAGAGAGUGUAAGUGGAGCUAGACCCUUGAGGUCUUUUGGUUGCUUACCUGACACAGAAAAAUCUGUGCGCUCAUGCCUGCGUAUAGUACUUGUGUCUAUGUAUGAGGAUCCUAGGAAGAUGGAUGCUGGGUUUAACCCAAUCUUGCCUUUUGGUUGUUGAGGUCCCUGCUAUCCUUUUCUUUUGCAUUUUUUUAGUGUAACCUGCCCAACCACCCACAUCAUGCCACUUGCAAUUUAUACGUUCUUGUUGAUGAAGAAGGGGGAAAAAAGGCACUAUUGUCAUUUACACCAAUGGUGUGCUUCAAUCCUUCCCUGAUGGCAAAAUGUUGGUGAGGUCACAAAAAUAGGUGUCUAUAGUUGGCAUGUAUCAACUGGUGAUGAUGUUCUACUCUUUUAUUCGUAUUAAUAUGGCCCAGAUUUGUGAAGUCAUGACUGUUGUUUGAAUCUAAUUGGCUAUCUUUAAAAUCUAUGGUUUAAACAUUAGAUGUUUGACUCAUUCUAUUGUUGGUAUACAGACAGUAUUUGUAAAAUAAUUGUGUGCAUCCUGACAUGAUUGCAGGGAAUGUCCGAAAUAUUCUGUAAUGUUUGCUGUGGUGUAGUUUUUUGUGCCUUGGUCAUCUCUUCAACAAGCCUUAAACUAAAAAAUGUAUAUGAUGGUGAAUUUUGUGCUAUAAAUGUUCACACACACACACACACACACA